CAGGUCUUGACAUCCUCUGACACUCCUAGAGAUAGGACGUUCCCCUUCGGGGGACAGAGUGACAGGUGGUGCAUGGUUGUCGUCAGCUCGUGUCGUGAGAUGUUGGGUUAAGUCCCGCAACGAGCGCAACCCUUGAUCUUAGUUGCCAGCAUUUAGUUGGGCACUCUAAGGUGACUGCCGGUGACAAACCGGAGGAAGGUGGGGAUGACGUCAAAUCAUCAUGCCCCUUAUGACCUGGGCUACACACGUGCUACAAUGGAUGGUACAAAGGGUUGCAAAACCGCAAGGUCUAGCCAAUCCCAUAAAACCAUUCUCAGUUCGGAUUGCAGGCUGCAACUCGCCUGCAUGAAGCCGGAAUCGCUAGUAAUCGCGGAUCAGCAUGCCGCGGUGAAUACGUUCCCGGGCCUUGUACACACCGCCCGUCACACCACGAGAGUUUGUAACACCCGAAGUCGGUGGGGUAACCUUUUGGAGCCAGCCGCCUAAGGUGGGACAGAUGAUUGGGGUG
rnacentral:rRNA from 1 species